CAGUAGCCGCGGUAAUACGUAGGGUGCGAGCGUUAAUCGGAUUUACUGGGCGUAAAGCGUGCGCAGGCGGUUGUGUAAGACAGGUGUGAAAUCCCCGGGCUUAACCUGGGAACUGCGCUUGUGACUGCACAGCUAGAGUAUGGCAGAGGGGGGUGGAAUUCCACGUGUAGCAGUGAAAUGCGUAGAGAUGUGGAGGAACACCGAUGGCGAAGGCAGCCCCCUGGGCCAAUACUGACGCUCAUGCACGAAAGCGUGGGGAGCAAACAGGAUUAGAUACCCGUGUAGUCCCUGUCUCUUAUAC
rnacentral:rRNA from 1 species